GGGUAAAGAAUUUGGAGGGAAAAACCCAGUGGCGAAAGGGGGCUCUCCUUGGUAUUUAAACCGACGCUUAGGGGUGAAAAACGUGGGGAGCGCAACAGGGAUUUGAUACCCUGGUAGUUCACACCCGUGAAACGAGGAGUGCUAAGUGUGAUGGGGGUUUCCGACCCCUUGGUGCUGCAGCUAACGCAUUAAGCACUCCGCCUGGGGAGUACGGUCGCAAGACUGAAACUCAAAGGAAUUGACGGGGGCCCGCACAAGCGGUGGAGCAUGUGGUUUAAUUCGAAGCAACGCGAAGAACCUUACCAGGUCUUGACAUCCUACUGACAAUCCCAGAGAUAGGACGUCGCCUUCGGGAGCAGAGUGACAGGUGGUGCAUGGUUGUCGUCAGCUCGUGUCGUGAGAUGUUGGGUUAAGUCCCGCAACGAGCGCAACCCUUGAUCUUAGUUGCCAGCAGUCAGUUGGGCACUUUAAAGUGGCCUCCCUGACUAACCGGAAGAAGGUUGGGAAGAAGUCAAAUUAUCAUUCGCCUUAUGACCUGGGCUACCCCCGUGGUACAAAGGACACAUCAAAGGGCAGCGAAACCUGCGCAGGUUGCAACGCAAUACCCACAAA
rnacentral:rRNA from 2 species